UCUUUCUUUUGCUGGCGACCGGCGCACGGGUGAGUAACACGUAUCCAACCUGCCCUUUACUCGGGGAUAGCCUUUCGAAAGAAAGAUUAAUACCCGAUAGCAUAAUGAUUCCGCAUGGUUUCAUUAUUAAAGGAUUCCGGUAAAGAUGGGGAUGCGUUCCAUUAGGUUGUUGGUGAGGUAACGGCCCACCAAGCCUUCGAUGGAUAGGGGUUCUGAGAGGAAGGUCCCCCACAUUGGGACUGAGACACGGUCCAA
rnacentral:rRNA from 1 species